UACGUAGGGUGCGAGCGUUAAUCGGAAUUACUGGGCGUAAAGGGCUCGUAGGCGGCCAACUAAGUCGGAUGUGAAAUCCCCAGGCUCAACUUGGGAACUGCAUCCGAUACUGGAUGGCUUGAAUUCGGGAGAGGGAUGCAGAAUUCCAGGUGUAGCGGUGAAAUGCGUAGAUAUCUGGAGGAAUACCGGUGGCGAAGGCGGCAUCCUGGACCGACAUUGACGCUGAGGAGCGAA
rnacentral:rRNA from 1 species